UCAAGAUGCGCGAAGAUUCUUUCCGAAGCGACUGGAUGUCUUUCUCUUCGUUUCCAUUCCCCUCUCACGCUUGCUAGGGUAUCACGCAGGACCAUUCCAGACGGAAUCAGCGCGCGGAUUUUGUGGGAUCCCGACGCCGGAGCGGACGCGCGAGCUGGGGCUGGGAGCUCGGCGGCGGAGAGUAACACGCGGUCGAGGACGGGGAGCCCCGACGCCGGAGAGCGACCCACGAGGGAGUUCGAUGGUGGGUAGCGCGGCGGCGGAGAGCGGCAAGGCGAGCUCAGGCGGGGGGAGGGGGUCUGAGCAGCGGAGAAGCGACCCGCACGCGAGGGUUGGGAACUCGGCGGCGGAGAACGGCCACACGAGCUGGGCGGAGAGUUGGGGCAGCGGAGAUGCAACCCGCGCGCGAGGGAGCCGAGCUCGGGCGACGAAGAGUGCCCGCACGAGGGAGCUCAUACGACUAGGAAGCCCGACGAAGGAGCAAUUGAGCGGCCGCAGUUGCCAUACUACCACUGCUCCGGCGCUUACUGGAUCUAUGUCUGCAUCCUCAAGCAGUUCCGGGAGGAGAUUCUCAAGGAUGUCCGUUCUAUUCUGCAAGGUACUUCUUACACUGGCCGGCGAGCAAGAAGGCGUGAACCCAAAUGCUGCCCUACUGCAAGCUGCAGCGUCCCCCGCCCCCAUCCUUCUUUGAUGAAUUGACCGAGGCAAACACAAUACCAAUAUGCCGCGAUCAAUAGAAGCGGUACUCCUUCUGUAUACCAGUGAAGAGGACGCCUACUGCUUACUCUGCAGUCUUUUGCCCAACUUAGUUGCUUUUUUGUCAUCAGUUUUAAGUUACUUUUUAUCUGCUAGUUAGGUUAUCUUUUCCAGCUGCAUGAAAAUUUCACACUGAUUUCAUUAUGUUGUUUAGUCAACAUGGCUAAGUUGCUUACUCAACUCAACUAGUUGCUUUCUGCCAGGAGUUGCCUUGCCUUGCUCAGCAUGCCUUUUUAGGUUGUUUAGUUGCUUUGAAUUCAACCAGGUUUAGUUUGAUGUUUCAACACCAUGAUUAAGUUGUCUUUCAUAUUUGAUUGAGUUGUUUGUUCAACUAGGUAAGUUGUGUACUAAAUAUAUGUAAGCCGUGUACUAAAUAUGCCUAUGUUGCCUCUGGCAACAUCCUUUUGAAGUUUAUUUUAUCCUAUAGUUUAGUUUGAUGCUUAGCAGUAUCCUUAAGUUGAACAUUUGUCUUAAUUUAGUUGUUCUUUUCAACUGACCUAAGUUGUAAUUUACAACGAAAUACCCGUAAGUAGUAUGUUGCUUAUUAUGUUCCAUUAAGUUGGUAAGUUGCCUUGUCAACAUGUUCUUUUGUCAUUAUGGUUAAUUUGUGCUUCAUAAUCUAGCUAAGUUUGCUUCUAUCAUUAUACUUAAGUUGGCUAGUCAGUAUAACUAAGUCGAAUGCAUACUUAAGUUCUCUUUUAUACUCUAUCUAGGUUUCUUCCCAAACGCUAAAAAGUUCUUGGAGGCCAGGAAACAUGUUUGAGCCUCCAAUUUCUGGCCAUUCCAUAUGUGUGAUCAAAGUUGUUCUGUCUCUAUAGGUGAUCCUUUUCAGCAAUAUGCAUAAGCAGGCCCGGGCGGGAAGGAGUGCCAAUUGUGCGGUUGCACAGGGCCUAAUAAUUUUUGAGGCCCAAAAUUUUGGUAUAGGCCUGUACAAUUAUUCAGUGUAAAAAAUAAACAAGUGAAAGUAAAAUGGCCGGCCUUACCUGGGCCCUUCCCAAGGAAUCCCAACCGAUGGGAGAGAGCGAGUGGCAAACGCGAUCGACAAAACGGGGGAUGAUCGAUCAGGCCUACGAUCAACUGACUCCCUUGCUCCCUUGACGAAGCGACGCGAGCGCGUCAGUACUCAGUUCGUCUUCUGUCGCCGCCUCUUUCCGUGGAUGGUGGACCCUGGCGUUCUGCAAUUGUUCUUCCUACGAUCCUCCGAUCGAUCUUGUAGUUGAUUUACCAGGCAUAGAUUUCCAAUGCAUCGAGGGUGCAAAUGUGCAAUGGGGGUUGUGCUUUGUUCUGGGAUCUAGAAACUAUUUCGGGGCAAGGGAGGAUUAAAAAAGCGAGGUACAAGUCCAUAGUAAUCUGAUGGAGGAAGUUAAUUGGUGCUGCAAAAGGAGGCAAGAAAAAGCGACUUGGACCUUGGGCCAAGAGGAUGAUGCUAGUUUUGGUACGAGGGAGAGGCGCGCUAGCAACCUGGUCAGGGGUUUCUUUUUCGAACUUGGUUGGUUGAGUGGGGGCGCUGGACUUUCUGUUUCUGGACCGGGGUACAGGACUUUUAUUUCUGGGCGGGGGCUGGUUUGGUAACCAACCCUCGAGUGCUUGCUAGCCAUGUCUAGGUGUCUUUAUUGGCUACUGAUUUAUUAAAGUUGCCUUGUCAACAUGUUUAAGUAGGCUACUACAUAUAACUAAGUUGCUUUUUGCAAUAUAAUAUAUCUAUCUUUCUUUUUAUCAACA